rnacentral:rRNA from 1 species
UACGAAGGGGGCUAGCGUUGCUCGGAAUCACUGGGCGUAAAGGGCGCGUAGGCGGGAUGGCAAGUCAGUCGUGAAAUCUCUCGGCUCACCGAGAAACGUCGCUGAUACUGCCGUUCUUGAGGGAUGCAGAGGAGACUGGAAUUCCCGGUGUAGCGGUGAAAAUGCGUAGAUAUUGGGAGGAACACCAGUGGCGAAGGCGGCUCACUGGACCGGUACUGACGCUGAGGCGCGAAAAGCGUGGGGAGCAAACGGG